ACUUAUGGCCAUACCACCCUGAGCGCGCCCGAUCUCGUCUGAUCUCGGAAGCUAAGCAGGGUCGGGCCUGGUUAGUACUUGGAUGGGAGAUUGCCUGGGAUUACCAGGUGCUUUAAGCU
ensembl:rRNA 5S_rRNA 5S ribosomal RNA